UACGAAGGGGGCAAGCGUUGUUCGGAUUUACUGGGCGUAAAGCGUACGUAGGCGGAUAUUUAAGUCAGGGGUGAAAUCCCGAGGCUCAACCUCGGAACUGCCUUUGAUACUGGGUAUCUUGAGUCCGGGAGAGGUGAGUGGAACUCCUAGUGUAGAGGUGAAAUUCGUAGAUAUUAGGAAGAACACCAGUGGCGAAGGCGGCUCACUGGCCCGGAACUGACGCUGAGGUACGAAAGCGUGGGGAGCAAACAGG
rnacentral:rRNA from 1 species